UGAGGAAUAUUGGUCAAUGGACGAGAGUCUGAACCAGCCAAGUAGCGUGAAGGAUGACUGCCCUAUGGGUUGUAAACUUCUUUUAUAUGGGAAUAAAGUAUUCCACGUGUGGGAUUUUGUAUGUACCAUAUGAAUAAGGAUCGGCUAACUCCGUGCCAGCAGCCGCGGUAAUACGGAGGAUCCGAGCGUUAUCCGGAUUUAUUGGGUUUAAAGGGAGCGUAGGUGGAUUGUUAAGUCAGUUGUGAAAGUUUGCGGCUCAACCGUAAAAUUGCAGUUGAAACUGGCAGUCUUGAGUACAGUAGAGGUGGGCGGAAUUCGUGGUGUAGCGGUGAAAUGCUUAGAUAUCACGAAGAACUCCGAUUGCGAAGGCAGCUCACUAGACUGCAACUGACACUGAUGCUCGAAAGUGUGGGUAUCAAACAGGAUUAGAUACCCUGGUAGUCCACACAGUAAACGAUGAAUACUCGCUGUUUGCGAUAUACAGUAAGCGGCCAAGCGAAAGCAUUAAGUAUUCCACCUGGGGAGUACGCCGGCAACGGUGAAACUCAAAGGAAUUGACGGGGGCCCGCACAAGCGGAGGAACAUGUGGUUUAAUUCGAUGAUACGCGAGGAACCUUACCCGGGCUUAAAUUGCAUUUGAAUAAUCUGGAAACAGGUUAGCCGCAAGGCAAAUGUGAAGGUGCUGCAUGGUUGUCGUCAGCUCGUGCCGUGAGGUGUCGGCUUAAGUGCCAUAACGAGCGCAACCCUUAUCUUUAGUUACUAACAGGUUAUGCUGAGGACUCUAGAGAGACUGCCGUCGUAAGAUGUGAGGAAGGUGGGGAUGACGUCAAAUCAGCACGGCCCUUACGUCCGGGGCUACACACGUGUUACAAUGGGGGGUACAGAAGGCAGCUACCUGGUGACAGGAUGCUAAUCCCAAAAACCUCUCUCAGUUCGGAUCGAAGUCUGCAACCCGACUUCGUGAAGCUGGAUUCGCUAGUAAUCGCGCAUCAGCCAUGGCGCGGUGAAUACGUUCCC
rnacentral:rRNA from 1 species